AUUGGACAGAGGAAUGUUUCUGUGUGCAAGGAAGAACUGCUUAAUGUAAGAGGCCCCAUCUGAAUUUAUUUGCAGGACCUCAGUGUGAUCAAGUGAAAAAGGACGAUCGAGAGGCAACAUGUCCCAGCUCAGCAGGGAGCUGUUGGAAGUGGAAGAGCCUGAAGUCUUGCAGGACUCACUGGAUAGAUAUUAUUCGACUCCUACCAGUUAUCUUGAACUGCCUGACUCAUGCCAGCCCUACAGAAGUACUUUUACUCAUUGGAGGAACAGCAUGUUGGCUUGGCUCUUGAUGGGGACAACAUUGAAAAAAAUCAAGAAGAAGAAGAAGACCAAGACCCACAAUGCCCCAGGCUGAGCCCGGAUCUGCCAGAGGUGGAGGAACAGGACGUCCCACAGGACUCCCUGGAUGAAGUUUACUUGACUCCUUCACUCCCCCAUGACCUGUCUGACUGCCAGCAACCUUACAACAGCACGUUGUACUCAUUGGAGGAUCAGCUCACCUGCUUUGCUCUCGAUGUAGCCUAGCUGGGUUUAGAGCCUUCCCUUGAAUGAAGAACCCUCCCCAGCUGGAAGGGGAUGCUCUUGAAAGCUCAGCUGACAACACACAUGGGCAUCAAGUCAUUGGCCACAUUCAUGCCUCAAGUGUCCUAAAACCGAAUAUGAUCAAAAGAAAACUGCUGUUCAGCAAGUGGAGACUGGCAUGCAGAUUCCCUGGCCUGCAAGCCUAGUGUAAAAAGAUACCAAAUACUGCUGGAAGAAUGAAAAGGAUGAAAGGAUGUCAUCAAAGUAGUUUUUUCACUUGAUGGAAAAGACUAAAACAGCAAAGCAAGUUCAAGAUCAAACACAACACCACAGGGAUCCUUUGAUGAGAAGUGAACUUAAGACCAUGAAAUGCUGUUGAUGAUUUUAACCCACCAGCCUCCUUUGAUUUGAGAAGCCACAGCCCUUCCCCCUCCAAUUGUGAUCAACUAUGAUCAGUACCUAAGGAGACUGAUGCCCAGAUGAACAAACAGCAUUGAGAGGCCUUAGCCCUGCUCCUCUCAAUUCCUAUCCCGUAGAGAACAGGAGUCAGGAGCCGCUGGCAGGAGACAGCAUGUCACCCGGGACUUUGCCAGUGCAGAAUAAGAACAAUGCCACGUUCUUGCUGAA